AUUAAUUUAAUGGCCSCAGUAAUUUGACUGUGCAAAGGUAGCAUAAUCAUUAGUUUUUUAAUUAAAAGCUUGAAUGAAUGGUUGGACGAAAUAAAUACUGUCUCUUUUUAACAAUUAGAAUUUAAUUUUUAAGUUAAAAAGCUUAAAUAAUAGUAAAAGACGAGAAGACCCCAUAGAUUUUUAUAAUUUUAUUUAUAUUUUUAAUUAGGAAUAUUUUAUUAUUUAUAAAUAAAAUUAUUUUAUUGGGGUAAUAAUAAGAUUUGUUAAAUUCUUUUUAAAAUAUUUCAAUAAUGAUUGAUUAUUUGAUCCUUUUUUAGAGAUUAUAAGAUUAAGUUACCUUGGGGAUAACAGCGUAAUUUUUUUAGAGAGUUCUUAUCGAUAAAAAAGUUUGCGACCUCGAUGUUGGAUUAAAAGUUAUUCUGGGUGUAGAAGUUCAGAGUUUUGGUCUGUUCGACCAUUAAAUUUUU
rnacentral:rRNA from 1 species